rnacentral:rRNA from 1 species
GACGAACGCUGGCGGCGUGCUUAACACAUGCAAGUCGAACGGAAAGGCCCUGCUUGCAGGGUGCUCGAGUGGCGAACGGGUGAGUAACACGUGGGUGAUCUGCCCCUUACUUUGGGAUAAGCCUGGGAAACUGGGUCUAAUACUGGAUAGGACCAUGCUGUAGGUGGUGUGGUGGAAAGAUUAGUUUCGGUAAGGGAUGAGCUCGCGGCCUAUCAGCUUGUUGGUGGGGUAAUGGCCUACCAAGGCGUCGACGGGUAGCCGGCCUGAGAGGGUGGACGGCCACAUUGGGACUGAGAUACGGCCCAGACUCCUACGGGAGGCAGCAGUGGGGAAUAUUGCACAAUGGGCGCAAGCCUGAUGCAGCGACGCCGCGUGGGGGAUGACGGCCUUCGGGUUGUAAACUCCUUUCAGCCAUGACGAAGCCCUUGUGGUGACGGUAGUGGUAGAAGAAGCACCAGCUAACUACGUG